AGAUUAAACUGAAGAGUUUGAUCAUGGCUCAGAUUGAACGCUGGCGGCAGGCUUAACACAUGCAAGUCGAGCGGUAACAGAUCUAGCUUGCUAGAUGCUGACGAGCGGCGGACGGGUGAGUAACGCGUAGGAACCUGCCCAGUAGUGGGGGAUAGCCCGGUGAAAACCGGAUUAAUACC
rnacentral:rRNA from 1 species